rnacentral:rRNA from 1 species
AUCACCUACGGGAGGCAGCAGUGGGGGAUAUUGCACAAUGGGGGGAAUCCUGAUGCAGCGACGUCGCGUGGGCGAUGGAGUGCAUCGGCAUGUAAAGCCCUAUCAGCAGGGAAGAAACUGACAGUACCUGACUAAGAAGCCCCGGCUAACUACGUGCCAGCAGCCGCGGUAAUACGUAGGGGGCAAGCGUUAUCCGGAUUCACUGGGCGUAAAGGGAGCGCAGGCGGCACGGCAAGCCUGGUGUGAAAACCCGGGGCCCAACCCCGGGAGUGCAUUGGGAACUGCC